AAUUACUCCGCUUGUAUCUUCUUCUACGUUUCUCCCACAUCGAGUUCAGUGAGAAGUUUGCAGUAGAAUAAGAACAGUAGCGAAGCAAUGGAGUUUGUCCCUUCGGGGACAUCUGAUAAAAUUGGAACGAUACAGAGAAGAUUAGCAUGGCCCCUGCGCAAGGAUGACACGCACAAAUCGAGAAAUGGUCCAAAUUUUUUUGCCGGUAUAUUGUGGUUGUGUUUUGACUGUCGUCGGCGCUGAUGCUCCGGUCGGUCGUUUUCCGUGGCAUCUUUCGUAUUUCUACAUUCAAAAAAGUUGGCUCAAUUAUUAUAUUGUGAUUGUGUUUUACUUCCUUCUGUUUGGACUUAAUUUGCAUAUGAAGUUUUAUCAGAAUCCCCAAAUUCAUGUUUUUGCUAACUAGGUUUAGCUAUGUGAUUGACUUACAGUUUAGAUACAAUUUGAAUCUGUUACCUAAAACGUGUGGAUGUCAGGAUUAGGUUAGAAGGUUAGUAGGUAACUGAGUGUUGUCGCACUUUGUUACAUUCCCUUCUAUGUGUAUUACUAUCUGUUGCUUCACUUGAUUUGUAUCUUGUUGUUUUGCUGUCAUAUUUCUUGCUACCAUGCUUCGAUUUCUUUUCUUUUCUGCCAAGCCAUGGGCCUAUCGGGAAACAACCUCUCUAUCCCACAAAGUUAAGGAUAUGGUCUGCGUACAUUCUACUGUACCCAGAACUCACUUGUGGGAUCACAUUGGGUAUGUUGUUGUUGUUGAAUGGAUUCGUUGUGGUAAAUGAUGGAGUAUAAAACUGAAUUGUGUUAUGGGAUUGAAUAUGUUCUUUAAUCUUAUUGCUGAUUCUAACAAAGUACAAAGUAGAAAUAGUAGGCAUCAAGUAUACUGGUAGUGUUAUGGCCCCUUUAUCGCCAUGUCAAUUCCUUUUAUCUUAUUGCAAUCGCAGAGAAAUUGGAAUUUUAAACUCAAAAAAUUCUCAUUAGCAUACUUGCAAACUUGUUAAAGGCAAAGCUAUGUAGAACGGGCCAACAGGGUAGAUACUCAUCUGAUGGCAAUAACUUGUUAAUGUAGGAUACGAUCACUGGAUUUUUACUCGCAGAAGUUGGCAAUGUUGAUUAGAGGAGGAAAACUAAUUGUAUCUUAUAGUCGAUUCAAAAAUAACGGUGAAGCAGAUUGAAGAUGUUUUCAAAGAAUUCACCACAAGUGUCCCCAUAACUCACUUGUGGGAUUACAUUGGAAAUAACGGUGAAGCAAAUUGAAGAUGCUUUCAAAGAAUUCGCCACACGGGAGGACAUUGCGAAUUUGCAAUAGUGUUAAUCAGCCAAUAUAAUGACAAGCAGGCAAUACACAUUUACUCCACGCAACUAUCAAUUAGUGGAACAGGAUGUACAAGACAAUUUGAAUGACCAAUCACCACCAAAUUCUCCAGAUGAUUCUCAAGUAGCAACUGAACUGAUUGAUGAUCAACAGGAGGAUGCUAUAUUAUUCAGAGUAUUUUAAAACAAGAAUUCAUCAUGUUGCUGAUAGAAUGAAUAAUCCCACAGAAACUGAAGAGAUUUGUGCCAAAUGUCAUGCGGAAUUUGAGCAUGAAGAGUCCAUUGGGAUUCUUGGGUGCGGACACGAAUAUCAUACAGGUUGCACAAUGGUUGCUGAGGAAAAACGAUUGUCCCAUGUGUCGAGCUUCUGUUUUUCCCUGAAAACAUAGCAUAUUGAGAUUAUUUUAUGAUAAAAUUCCAUUGUAUUAAACUUAGUAAGACAAUU